rnacentral:tRNA from 1 species
CUAUUUUGGCAGAUUAGUGCAGUAAAUUUAGAAUUUAUUUAUGUAAUAAGUAUUACAAGUAGUA